rnacentral:rRNA from 1 species
GAUGAACGCUGGCGGCGUGCCUAAUACAUGCAAGUCGAGCGAACAGACGAGGAGCUUGCUCCUCUGACGAUAGCGGCGGAGGUGUGAGUAACACGUGGAUAACCUACCUAUAAGACUGGGAUCACUUCGGGACACCGGCGCUAAUACCGGAUAAUAUAUUGAACCGCAUGGUUCAUUAGUGAAAGACGGUUGUGCUGUCACUUAUAGAUGGAUCUACGCCGCAUUAGCUAGUUGGUCAGUUAAAGGCUUACCAAGGCAACGAUGCGUAGCCGACCUGAGGGGCGGGUCGGCCACACUGGAACGGGAACACGGUCCAGACUCCUACGGGAGGGAGCAGUAGGGAAUCUUCGGCAAUGGGCGAAAGCCUUACGGAGCAGCGCCGCGUGAGUGGUGAAGAUCUUCGGAUCGUAAAACUCUGUUAUUAGGGAAGAACAGAUGUGUAAGUAACUGUGCACGUCUUGACGGUACCUAAUCAGAAAGCCACGGCUAACUACGUG